GACGAACCGUGCGAACGUUGUUCGGAAUCACUGGGUUUAAAGGGCGCGUAGGCGGGUCGCCAAGUCGGUGGUGAAAUCGUUCCGCUCAACGGGACAACGGCCUUCGAUACUGGCGGCCUGGAGGGAGGUAGGGGCAUGCGGAACUUCCGGUGGAGCGGUGAAAUGCGUAGAUAUCGGAAGGAACACCGAUGGCGAAAGCAGCGUGCUGGACCUUUUCUGACGCUGAGGCGCGAAAGCCAGGGGAGCAAACGGG
rnacentral:rRNA from 1 species